rnacentral:lncRNA from 1 species
CCUUCCUAUGCGGCAUGGUCUGCUUCUGGCGAACUGUGUAGAGGGAUGCCGUACAUGACAACUUCUGGAUCAGUUGGCACAAGUUUGUAUCUGGGACAAUCUUUGACAACAUCCCAACAUUCCCAUUUGGUGAAUGAUUUGAUGUUGUUUUUCGCAUUGUAGAAUGCUUGUGCUUGUAGUGUCUAUAAAAUGUGGGAUAAGACAAUAUUAUAAAAUGUGGGAUAAGACAAUAUUAUAAAAUACGGGUGUAACACAAAUAAAUAAAUUAAAAUAUUGAUGCAGGUGAAAUACAUAUUGUUUGUACCAUACUUAGGGCCUCCGUAUUUAGACCUCAUAUAAAUACUUGGGGAAUUUAAAUGUAAUUAUGUAAUA